rnacentral:pre_miRNA from 1 species
ACUGGGAUAGCUGGGUCAUAUGGUGGCUCUAUUCCUAGUCUGUUAGGAAUCUCCAUAAUGCUUUCUGGAAUGGUUCUACUCAUUUGCCUUCCCACCAGCAAU